UCUCUCCUCACUAUCUGAACACUGGAACCACCAUGAUGUCUCUGUGCUGUCUGAGCUGUCUGACUGUCUUUGUGAUUUUGCUAAGGAACUCUUCUGCACAGUCAAUAGAACCACUGGAGAGCAAAACACAGGUUCAUGCUCGUGAAGAUGAGACAGUUACUCUCUCCUGCGAGUAUAAUGGUGAUAUGAGAAGUCUGCUGUGGUAUCGUCAGUAUCCUGGAUCCAGACCAGAGUAUUUACUGAUGAAAUAUCGAGGAUCAGCUGAUGUGACCCGUGCAGAUCCUACUUUCUUACGACUGGAUGCUACAGAUGUCCAUACAAACAAUAGGACAUUUUGGAAUCUCUCAAUCUCUUCCAUUGCAGUAUCAGACUCUGCACUCUACUACUGUGCUCUGACGCCCACAGUGACAGGAAACCCAGCUACACUGUACAAAAACUGUUUUAUAUGAAUGAGGUAGUGUCCUGCUUUUCUCAGCAGGGGGAGCUCUUAUUACA